rnacentral:rRNA from 1 species
GACGAACGCUGGCGGCGUGCUUAACACAUGCAAGUCGAACGGUAAGGCCCUUCGGGGUACACGAGUGGCGAACGGGUGAGUAACACGUGGGUGAUCUGCCCUGCACUUCGGGAUAAGCCUGGGAAACUGGGUCUAAUACCGGAUAGGACCACUGCCUGCAUGGGUGGUGGUGGAAAGCUUUUGCGGUGUGGGAUGGGCCCGCGGCCUAUCAGCUUGUUGGUGGGGUGAUGGCCUACCAAGGCGACGACGGGUAGCCGGCCUGAGAGGGUGACCGGCCACACUGGGACUGAGAUACGGCCCAGACUCCUACGGGAGGCAGCAGUGGGGAAUAUUGCACAAUGGGCGCAAGCCUGAUGCAGCGACGCCGCGUGAGGGAUGACGGCCUUCGGGUUGUAAACCUCUUUCAGCACCGACGAAGCGCAAGUGACGGUAGGUGCAGAAGAAGGACCGGCCGACUACGUGCCAGCCGCCGCAGUAAUAC